AUUUAAAAGUAACAAUGAGUUGAUUUGAAAGGACCAGAAAGGAGGAGCGACUAUUUGCACAAUUUAUCCCAAAAGCAGAAACAUGCUUGGCCUAGGGUUUGUGACCCCGUUUCAUCUUUAUUAUUUAAGUUAUUCUUUCUAUUUUUUUUUUUCAUUCUCUGCUUCAUUCUUGUUUAAACAAAACAAAGAACCCUUAUUCCCUUCUCCCCUUUUGGUUAGGGUUUCUAAACCCAUUUUCGCCGCCGUCAUCAUGGCUCUUUGAAGCCGCCGGAGCUUUCACCGUCAACGAUGGUCAGGGUCACCAAGAUCCAGAACAACAACCAAAGAAAAAAAAAACUAAAAAUCCCCCUGUUUUACAUGGGAUGGCAGAGAGUGGUUGGAGGCAGUUUGAAAUUUCAGAUUUUUCUUUUCUCUUUUUUUUUUUUUAUUUGGGUUAGGGUUAGGUUAAGCUAUUGGGUUUUGGGUGUUUAAUGUGUAAUGGGUUGGUAGUUUAGGGGUGUUGGCUAAGGUAGGUCAAAAUUGUAAAAGGGUUUGAAAUUGGGUUAAAAUUAGCCUACAACAUUACUCUUUUUUAAAAAAUAAUUUAUGUUUUUUAAAAUAAUAAAUCAUUUUACAAGGAAAAAAA